UAAAAUUAACUUCACCUUCCGGUAAAAUAACCAUGUUACGACUUAUUCAGAUAAUUAAUCUGAAGUGACGGGCAGUUUGUACACAUUAAAUUGCUUUAUUCAAAAUAAUAUUGUAAAUUAUGUUUACUAUUAAAUUCGUUUUAUAACCAUUUCAAAAUUAAAAUCACGUAAAUUUUAUUGAUUUUCAAGUUUACUUUAUUAUAAUCUUCAUCUUUACCUGACUUCAUUAAAAAUAUUUAAAACAAAUUAAAUUUGGGUUGAAAAUUUUUAGACGGCGAUAUAAAAAAUGAGUGGUAACUAAAUAAAGUAAGAUUAUUGUGGAAUCUCUAUUAUGCCCAAAAAUCUCUAAUUUGAUUUAAUGCCGCCAUAAUCCUUAGUUGUUACUCUUGAGUUGUUUAUUUAUACAUAAUAACUGGUUAUCUAAUCCAGGUCUUUAUUUUGUACUUUAAAAUUAAUUUUAGGUUAAUUAAUUAAAAUUGUACUUAAUAAUUAAUUCAUGAAAAAUUAAACUUUAUAAAAAUUUUUCUCUUGAUAUGAUAAAAUUAGUGGCAAAAUAAUUUCAUGGUGAAAUUAUAUCUUGUUUUACCGCUGAAGCUGGCACAUGAGUGUUCCCCACUUUAUUUAUUCAAAAAUAAAUUAUUAAACUCAUUUAUUUAUUUUUAAAAUAAUUACUUACUCAAUAUUAAAGUUAUUAGAUGGUUUUUUGGUUUAAAUACUUUAAUCAUUUAACCGGC
rnacentral:rRNA from 1 species